CCUAGAACUCCAAGAUGAUAUGCCCUUUGUCUUCUGCUACCAGGGUGGGUAGGGAAGGACCCUCAGGUGAGGGUGGGGUAGGCACCUCUGAGCUCAGGCUCUCCUUGGGCGGUCCUUGCUGCGGCUGCUGUGGGGGCUGGGGGUGAGAUUCCCAGGUCACUGGAGUUAUGUACCUAGGAGGAUUAUGUCUGCCUCUGCUGAGUCAUGCAGGUUGUCAGGGAAGUGGGGGAAAGCCGGCAGUCACAGGGCUCACCCAGCUCCCACCCAAACCAAAGGGCCGGUCUCACUCCCACCGUGCACCCCCCAACAGCCCCCAGUCCGUUUCCAGGCGGAGAGGGAUACAGGCCUGAAAACCUGCCCCAGGCUACCCGCCUCCCAGCUGCGAGAGAAAAAGGCUUGGUUCUUCCCCCGCCUGUGGAGUCAGCACCCCGGAUUCGUGCCCUGCCCUAGUUCUGGCCAGGAGGAUUCUCACCCAGUUCAAACUGUUACAACGCUCAGCUAGAGAUUUCCUUCUCCCUGUGGAGUUUUACCCCCUCCUCUCCCGAUGGAUCCCUGUGGUGCCAGCAGGAAUGGGCUGCUCGGGGACCCAGCGAGCUCCGCGGGCCUUUCCGCUGCUUCCUCUACCCCUGUACCUCACUGGGCUCCCCAGACGGACUCAGCUCCAGAACCUGUAGGAAAAUAUCAGAGAUGUU
rnacentral:lncRNA from 10 species